rnacentral:tRNA from 1 species
GGCCUCGUAGCUUAGCUGGUGCGGAGCGUGCGCUGUACAAAUGCGUAGGCGGCGUCCAUGCGUGAGUUCGAAUCCCGCCGAGGCCA